rnacentral:lncRNA from 1 species
UCAGGCCAGGCUCUGGUGGCGCACUCCUUUAAUACUAGCACAUGGGAGGCAGAGGCAGGUGGGUCUCUGUGAGUUCUUAGUAAGCAAGGAAAGAGUUCUCCCCAGAGUGGAAGUGACUCGGGAGCCAAGGGAAGCCACAGAAGCAUUGAGUCACCCAGUGUUGGGCUUCGUAGCUCUCUGCUCCUGUUUGUACUUGAUUUCUUAGAUGGGCCACAGGAGGGAGACUUCCCCUUUCCUGCAGACUAGCCUCCUUCAGCCUGUUAAUUCUGAGGUAGCGUGUUUAGUUCCUACUCUCUCAUAACAGGCAUAUAUUACCUCAGUUUUUAAAAAAAACAAUUUAAAAUCAAUGUGGAAAGAUUACAUGACAUAGAGAAUUAAUAGUAAUUUAGAGCAAGGGAUGAUGAGGGCAGCUUGAGAUAAUAAAGAUAGCUUAGUAGAGCAAAUAAACCCUAAUGUGAUAAUUGACUUCCCUCCUCAGCUUAUCUUUACACAAGCGUGCGCUCUUUCUAUCCCCAACAUGCCCAAGCCUAGCCCCUGAUGACUGGCUGGCCAGGUAGCUCUGGCCCUCUUGAUCUUGCCUGCAGAGUGAGUUUUGACCUGAUCAUUGUUUCCCUUUUGCUCCAUCUGCAAAGCUCGUGAGAACUUGUAACUAGGACUCCUGUGAAAGCUGUCUUGCUUUGAUUUUUAAGGCAGGGCCUCCCAUAGCUCAGUCUGGCCUUGGAAUUGGUUGUGUGCUGAGAGCAGGGCAGUCUUAAACUUCUGACCUUCCAUGUCUCUACCUGCCUGCCACGUGUUAGUUCUAGUCCUGUGCUUCCAGGCCUGGCAGCUUUGGUUUGUGCUGUCCUGAAACAGGCUCUUUCAGUAUAGGCCAGGCUGUCCUCAACUUCAUGACCAUCCGAGUCUGCUUCCCAUGUGCCAGCGUUUCAGGUGUGUGCCCCCAGCUUCCCAUUGCAGAGUUUCCCAUCCAGAAUCAAAGAUGGAGGUGGCCAAAUGGACUUGUAAGCUUCUAGUUCCUAAAAUGCCUUUUUUUUUAGCAUUUAAAUCCAUUCAUUUGUGCUGUUGAUGCCCGCUUGAAAGGGGGCUGAACCAAGGAAGCCUUUGAAUCCUGCCUAGAUCAGAAUUAAUCUUCCACCCUCAGCUAGGACUGAUGUCUGUCCUGUGUGCAUUGGCGCAACAAUGCUUGUUAAAUUACUGGUGUGUUUCCAUGCCAGCUGGCCAAUAAUAAAUAGAAAACAGUAUAAAGUUAAUAAUACUCUGUCAAGAGGUUUGUGUUGGAAACCACACAUGCACUUGGGCAUUAUGCUAAAGAUGGAGGUAGGAGACCUGCUCAGAUGCCCUAUACCUGCGGAUGUUGAAGAAGGUACAGCAGCCCCUGGGUAGGAGACAGUGACUUUGUCUCUGACCUGAUAAGGACCUAAUCUUACAAAGGAAGUGUCACUUGUACCAAAUGCAGAAGUAGCAUCCAGGCUUGGGUGGUAACUGGAGACCCGGUCAUAGCCAAGCGCAACACCCUCACUCACUAGCUGCAGUCCCUCUGGCGAGUUUGAAGAGCUUUAACAACUCAAUUUAACCUACUGAUCCAGAAUGCUUUUGGUGGUUGGAAACCACACAUAUUUGUUAUCUUGAGAUUUCUAUGGCAUGGCUUAGCUGGACCUCUCCUUGAAGGUCUUUUAUGGUACUGCAGCUAAGAUCUCAAAUUAGCAAAAGCUAUAAUCUUGUGUGAAGGCUCAGGAGAGUAUGGUCUGCUUCCAUGUGCACAUAAUUGCUGUUAGGAUUUUGUUCCUUGAGAACUGAUAUAGAGAGGGUCUCAAUUAUGGAAUUGGCCAGGGACUACCAUGUGGGCCUCUCCGAUUGUUUCAUCAGGAAAUACGUGAGAAGAGCUAGAGACUAUCAGCAAAAUACAAGUUACAGUUUUUCACAACAUAAUCUGGAAGGAGACAAAGCUUCACUUUAGUCAUAAUCUUUUCACUCAAAGCUGUUGCUGAGGUCCAGCCCUUGCUCAAGGUCAGCAGAUUACUGAAGGGCAAAUGGCAUGGGAAGAAUACCGUAAGGCAGGAUCAGUGGGAGGCAGUCUGAAAGUAGCCUACUGUAACAACCUCUCCUGGGACUAGGGCAUGGGAGGAAGGGCUCUCCCUCCAUGCUGUGGAGAAAGCUACAGUUGACCGUACGUGUGUGGAGAGGAGUUAAUGAAGAGCGUAAUAUCAAAGGGUUAGUAUGGUACUGAUCUGACUCCUCCCACACUUGUAAGCAAUCUCCAGAUAAAGAAUUUUCUGCCAUCUUCACCAGUGGAUGCUGAACUCAGGCCCUAUCUCCUCCUUUGCUAGGGUCCACCAAGACUCAGGAGGAGAGGUCUACCUGCCUCUGGUAUCAUCUUCCUCUUCCUCAUUGCCUCCCUACACACAUUGCUCUCCUUCAUGCCUGUGUAGUUCAGGGAAACUUCCCAGUCUGCUCUUGGCCAAAGGGCAGGAAAUGGCAGAUGUCUUUCUGUCACCAUUUGGUGGCUAUAUAAUGAGAUACACAUCAAGUCUCACCUGUAGUGAAAAUGAAUGAAAAACUCUCAGACUUUUAUAAGCAUCCUCAAGUU